AAAAAUUAUAUAAAUACUGUUCGGCUUCUCGCACAAACCGAUCGUUUCGUUUCUUAGGAUAUCAAUGUGUCGUCACGAGCGGCAGGGUUUAAUUUGGAUUUGUCUGUGCAUGUUUUUACUGUCUGAGAUUUUGUUACUAUUCACAUGCAUACAGACUGAAACGGUUGGAGUUUCUACAUUUGUGUUGUACUGAAGAAACAAAAUCACAUACAUCUUGGAUGGCCUCGGGGUAAGCUGAUAAAUACAAAAAAUUCAUUUUAAGAUGAAUCCCGUACGUUGGCGGCUGUUUUAAACUGGGUGCUCGGCUCCGACCCUUUUGCCAGUAUGAAGCCGAUUUCAACGGUAACUGCAGAAAGCGUCAGCACGCUCAGCUCAUCACUGGAGUAACGUCUGUACAACGGGUGAGAUAAAACUCAACGCCUGACUGAAUCAUCCAUUCCCUUUUCGAUCCUACGCCAUACGUUAAACUUGAGGUAAUCUUGCUUUUGCUGUUCUAAAAUAAACACUGCUCUUAGCACACCACCCAUACAUGGCACACAAAACAGGUCUUGUGAGGGGGCUGUGCCCACAGGUAGAAAUUCUGUAGGUCCACGGGCUUCUCCCCUUUCAGCGAACAUCACAGCGCUUAGUCCACCAUCGUGGUCUCCAAUCUCCAUUACCAACAGCCUGAGUGCUACACCUACAGACACCCCAACCCAUGCAGCAGCUGGCAGAAGUCAGACAUCAGGCCAAACUGGAUUUCAACACACCCCACCCUUACAUGGCACACAAGUAUAUGACACACAACACAGGUCUUCUCAGGAGGCUGUGCCUACAGCAAUAGGCUUUAUGCCCAGCUGCACUACUUCCUGAACUUCAGCCAGCUGCUUGUUUCCUGUCUGCCAUUAUUGGACAAACUGAUUAAUCCAGGUGUGCCUGAGCUUAGUAGUCACAACAACAAUAAUCAGACACACCUGGAUUUAUCAGUUUGUCCAGUAAUGGCAGACAGGAAACAAGGAGCUUAAAGCCUAUUGCUAAGGAGAUCCUCAUCCAGCUCGAUUUUAUUAGAGAGCAGCAGUUGCAGACUUCACCCCAGACCCAACACAUUUUGGGCUCCCACUUUCAACUAUUGAGGAGCUACAAUGUUUGUAGGAGACAUUUAAUAAUCCAGAUGAGAAGAAGAAUUUGGUGAGACUGUUUUUCCUGGAAUGGUCGGAGACAAGACUCUUAAAGACACCGUGGGGUGGGUCCUGAAAAAAACAAUGAACUCUUCGUGGUGAGACUCAUCAAUUGAAGUGGGGUCAACUGAACGCCUGCAUUCAAAGGGCUCACUUUGAAAAGUGUGGUUUUGGAUGCAGUCCGCCGGAAUGCCCUGACCAAAGAUUACACAGAAAAGGAGAUAGAGCUCCUCAUCACCAGGUGGUCGGUGCUAGCAUAUGACAGGGAUGGUGGCCGAAUCCAGACAAUAGACAGACAAUGAAUUAAAAUGUUUUAAAUUUAAAAAUGUUGAUUUUUGGAAAAUUCGUAUUUGAACUGAUUGUGUGUGUGUGUGCACCUGGUAAUUAUCACGUUGUGUCCCCACAAAGAUAGGAAUACCAGUAUUUUUGUGACCUUGUGUCCCCAUGAGGAAACAAGCUUAUAAAUCAAACAAAAUGAUGUUUCUUGUAAAUGUGAAGUAGGAGAAGGGUUUCUGUGAUGGUUGGGUUUAGGGAAUGGGGUAGGUAAGGGGAAUAAAAUAUACAGUUUGUAUGGUAUAAAAUGCAUUACGUCUAUGGAAUGUCCCCACAAAACAUGGAAACCUGUUUGUGUGUACGAGAGAGAGAGAAUGUGUGUUCAAGUGAAUAAAAAAUGCAUUAAACGUGAAA